AACGAACGCUGGCGGCAUGCCUAACACAUGCAAGUCGAACGAGAUCUUCGGGUCUAGUGGCGCACGGGUGCGUAACGCGUGGGAAUCUGCCCUUUGGUUCGGAAUAACAGUUGGAAACGACUGCUAAUACCGGAUGAUGACGAAAGUCCAAGAUUUAUCGCCAGAGGAUGAGCCGGCGUAGGAUUAGCUAGUUGGUGUGGUAAAGGCGCACCACGGCGACGAGCCUUAGCUGGACUGAGAGGAUGAUCAGCCACACUGGGACUGAGACACGGCCCAGAAUCCGACGGGAGGCAUGAGUGGGGAAUAUUGGACAAUGGGCGAAAGCCUGAUCCAGCAAUGCCGCGUGAGUGAUGAAGGCCUUAGGGUUGUAAAGCUCUUUUACCCGGGAUGAUAAUGACAGUACCGGGAGAAUAAGCUCCGGCUAACUCCGUGCCAGCCGCCGCCGUAC
rnacentral:rRNA from 1 species